GGAGGAUGUUGAUAAUAACAAAAAUGAAGACAUAACUGGAGAGCCUCUUGAGAUCGAUGACAAGGAAGAUGAACAACCGAUGGAGCGGCCUCGAAAAACUUCGAAGUACAUGACCAAGUACGAGCGUGCCCGGAUUCUGGGUACCCGUGCUCUCCAAAUCAGUAUGAAUGCUCCUGUUAUGGUGGAACUGGAGGGGGAAA